UAGGGUAAUCUUCCACAAUGGACGAAAGUCUGAUGGAGCAACGCCGCGUGAGUGAAGAAGGGUUUCGGCUCGUAAAACUCUGUUGUUAAAGAAGAACAUAUCUGAGAGUAACUGUUCAGGUAUUGACGGUACUUAACCAGAAAGCCACGGCUAACUACGUGCCAG
rnacentral:rRNA from 1 species